rnacentral:rRNA from 1 species
AGAAUCAACGCUGGCGGCGUGCCUAACACAUGCAAGUCGAACGCGAAAGUCCCGAAAGGGAUAAGUAGAGUGGCAAACGGGUGAGUAACACGUGGGUGACCUGCCUUCGAGCGGGGGAUACGGUCCGAAAGGGACGCUAAUACCGCAUAACAUCCUGCCUUUAAGAGGUGGAGAUCAAAGCCGGGGACCGCAAGGCCUGGCACUUGAAGAGGGGCCCGCGUCUGAUUAGCUAGUUGGUGGGGUAAUGGCCUACCAAGGCAACGAUCAGUA